GACGAACGCUGGCGGCGUGCUUAACACAUGCAAGUCGAACGGAAAGGCCCUGCUUUUGUGGGGUGCUCGAGUGGCGAACGGGUGAGUAACACGUGAGUAACCUGCCCUUGACUUUGGGAUAACUUCAGGAAACUGGGGCUAAUACCGGAUAGGAGCUCCUGCUGCAUGGUGGGGGUUGGAAAGUUUCGGCGGUUGGGGAUGGACUCGCGGCUUAUCAGCUUGUUGGUGGGGUAGUGGCUUACCAAGGCUUUGACGGGUAGCCGGCCUGAGAGGGUGACCGGCCCAACUGGAACGGAGACAAGGGCCAGGGUACGACGGGAGGCAGCAGGGGGGAAGAGGGGACAAUGGGCGGAAGCCUGAUCCAGCCGUACCGCGUGUGUGACGAAGGCCUGCGGGGUGUAAAGGCGUUUGGUUGGGAAAGAAAAGCAGCAGGUUAAUACCCCGCUGUUGUGACGGGAACCAAAGAAUAAGCACCGGCUAACUUCGGG
rnacentral:rRNA from 1 species